CUAACAUUUGCCUAUCAAAAAACAAAAAACUCUCUCGUUCUCGUCUUCUCUCUCUCUCUCUCUCACCUUCGAGAUCUGCUAAUGGAGGUUCUCAGUUCUCUCUCGCUUCACGAUCUCGUUCACGGUUCUCAGUUCUCCCUCAUUCUCAUCUUUGUGCUAGGAUCGUUGCCUGCCACACUGGAUAUCGAUUCCGAUUAUGUAAUCUCAUCUGUGUACUCUCUGGAUCUGAGACUCAUUGUCAUCCAAACGACAAUAUUAUGUUGGAAAAAUAGAAUGAAGGUUGCGUCGUGGAAGAACCACUGCCUUGAAAGCAAAAAUUUCGGCUGACCUCGAUGCAAUCCAGUGCAGGGUUUGCUCCCCAAGGUUAACACAACCACAUUUAAGGUACUGUGCACUCAUAACCUAAAAGUGUUGGAGUCUCUACAACAAUGCUCAGAACCACUAAAGGAGAGGAAGAAAUAUUUUAUUUUUCCUUUUGUUGUCUUUUAUCAUUGUUCACGGCCUCUUCUUCUUAUAUAGAAAGCAAGAAUUCUCAUUUUCCUUCCCUCUGUUGCUUUUCCAUUGAAUACUCAUAAGUGUGUGGUCAAAGAGGCCAUAAACAAUUGAACACUAGAAAUCAAACUGAUGUGAAUUGUAUAUUUCAGCUUAAAAGUCCUUUGAAUAUCCAA